rnacentral:rRNA from 1 species
CAUAUCAGUAAGCGGAGGAAAAGAAACUAACCAGGAUUCUCUUAGUAACGGCGAGUGAACAGAGAUUAGCCCAGCACCGAAGCCCAUCCACGUUUGUGGAUAGGGCAAUGUGGUGUUAAGACAUGUACCUAAGGCAAGUUGUCUACUUGAAGUCCAGCUCCGAUUAUGGCUUGGCAUUUGUUCCGAAGAGGGUGAAAGGCCCGUUCGAGUAGACAGUUUGUUGGUGUGUGCUUGUCCUUGAGUCGGAUUGCUUGAGAAUGCAGUCCAAAUCAGGUGGUAAACUCCAUCUAAGGCUAAAUACUGGCAUGAGUCCGAUAGUAAACAAGUACCGUGAGGGAAAGUUGAAAAGUACUCUGAAGAGAGAGUAAAUAGUACGUGAAACCGACUGAAUGGAAGCUGGUGGAGUCAAGCUCUUGCAAAAUGAAUUGAUGCGGAGAUGUCUGAUUGUAAACAGUAUUGUAUUUAAAUUGCUCGGUGGUUUGCCACCAUAAGCAGUUCGGUGUGACUGCUUAUUUCUGUUUAUACUUCAGUUCUCUUGUGUUAUUUCGUUAAGCAUAUGCCAUGGUCAGUGCUCUAAUGUUGAAUGAUAUUCUAAUCAUGAAUCAGAAUGCCAUGUGUAUUUCUAUUCAUGGGAUGGCAGGUAGUAGUUAAUGGGCAACCAUUUAACUGUGUAUAGUGGUUAAGGCUUGCUGAAUAUCGUUUCUUUAAUACAUUAUGUGCAUUGUCUAUAUAUCAUGCGAUCCCGUAACGGUGUCGUAUGUGAGAGCCAUGGCUAGUAGUAGAUUUUCCACCCGACCCGUCUUGAAACACGGACCAAGGAGUUUAACAUAUACGCGAGUCAAUGGGUUCUUCGAAACCCAAUGGCGUAAUGAAAGUGAACGAUCUCUUUUCGUGAUCUGAGGUGUUAUUUCAGCGUGCCUUUUAUAGGGCCGUUGGAUGCAGCACCGGCCCGUUUCGUAAUGUAGUAAUUCUGGCUUCGGCUGGUUUGCGGCAUUGUGGCGGAGCAAGAGCGUAUAUGUUGAGACCCGAAAGAUGGUGAACUAUGCUUGCGUAGGUUGAAGCCAGAGGAAACUCUGGUGGAGGACCGUCGCGGUUUUGACGUGCAAAUCGAUCGUCAAACGUGAGCAUAGGGGCGAAAGACUAAUCGAACCAUCUAGUAGCUGGUUCCCUCCGAAGUUUCCCUCAGGAUAGCUGGCAUUCGUUAAACACAGUUUUAUCCGGUAAAGCGAAUGAUUAGAGGUAUUGGGGACUACAUGUCCUCAACCUAUUCUCAAACUAUAAAUGGGUACGAUGCAUUACUCGCUUAGUUGGAGUUUUGCAUUGAAUGAGAAUGCCAAGUGGGCCAUUUUUGGUAAGCAGAACUGGCGCUGUGGGAUGCUCCGAACGUCAGGUUAAGGUGCCAAAUAUUGACGCUCAUGAGACACCACAAAAGGUGUUAAUGCAUAUAGACAGCAGGACGGUGGCCAUGAAAGUCGGAAUCCGCUAAGGAGUGUGUAACAACUCACCUGCCGAAUGCAUUAGCCCU